UACAGAGGGUGCAAGCGUUAAUCGGAAUUACUGGGCGUAAAGGGUGCGUAGGUGGUUUUAUAAGUUAGGUGUGAAAGCCCUGGGCUUAACCUGGGAACUGCGCCUAAUACUGUUGAACUAGAGUACUGUAGAGGAAGGUGGAAUUUCCGGUGUAGCGGUGAAAUGCGUAGAUAUCGGAAGGAACAUCAGUGGCGAAGGCGACUUUCUGGACAGAUACUGACACUGAGGCACGAAAGCAUGGGGAGCAAACAGG
rnacentral:rRNA from 1 species